UACGUAGGGUGCGAGCGUUAAUCGGAAUUACUGGGCGUAAAGGGCGCGUAGGCGGCGAUCCAAGUUAGGCGUGAAAGCCCCGGGCUUAACCUGGGAAUUGCGCUUAAGACUGGACUGCUUGAGUGCGGGAGAGGUGAGUGGAAUUCCCAGUGUAGAGGUGAAAUUCGUAGAUAUUGGGAAGAACACCAGUGGCGAAGGCGGCUCACUGGCCCCGCAACUGACGCUGAGGCGCG
rnacentral:rRNA from 1 species